CAAUGCCCCCUUUAAAAAAAAAGAAAAAGAAAAAGAAAAAGAAGAUUAGCAUGGCCCCUGUGCAAGGAUGACAUACAAAUUCGUGAAGUGUUACAUAUUUUU
rfam:Mus musculus chromosome 4, GRC primary reference assembly.